UGCAGUCGAGCGGGGAAGAGUAGCUUGCUACUUAACUUAGCGGCGGACGGGUGAGUAAUACUUAGGAAUCUACCUAAUAGUGGGGGACAACAUCUCGAAAGGGAUGCUAAUACCGCAUACGCCCUACGGGGGAAAGCAGGGGACUCUUCGGAGCCUUGCGCUAAUAGAUGAGCCUAAGUCGGAUUAGCUAGUUGGUGGGGUAAAGGCCUACCAAGGCGACGAUCUGUAGCGGGUCUGAGAGGAUGAUCCGCCACACUGGGACUGAGACACGGCCCAGACUCCUACGGGAGGCAGCAGUGGGGAAUAUUGGACAAUGGGGGGAACCCUGAUCCAGCCAUGCCGCGUGUGUGAAGAAGGCCUUUUGGUUGUAAAGCACUUUAAGCGAGGAGGAGGCUCCCAGUAUUAAUACUACUGGAGAGUGGACGUUACUCGCAGAAUAAGCACCGGCUAACUCUGUGCCAGCAGCCGCGGUAAUACAGAGGGUGCAAGCGUUAAUCGGAUUUACUGGGCGUAAAGCGUGCGUAGGUGGCCAAUUAAGUCAAAUGUGAAAUCCCCGAGCUUAACUUGGGAAUUGCAUUCGAUACUGGUUGGCUAGAGUAUGGGAGAGGAUGGUAGAAUUCCAGGUGUAGCGGUGAAAUGCGUAGAGAUCUGGAGGAAUACCGAUGGCGAAGGCAGCCAUCUGGCCUAAUACUGACACUGAGGUACGAAAGCAUGGGGAGCAAACAGGAUUAGAUACCCUGGUAGUCCAUGCCGUAAACGAUGUCUACUAGCCGUUGGGGGUCUUUGAGACUUUAGUGGCGCAGCUAACGCGAUAAGUAGACCGCCUGGGGAGUACGGUCGCAAGACUAAAACUCAAAUGAAUUGACGGGGGCCCGCACAAGCGGUGGAGCAUGUGGUUUAAUUCGAUGCAACGCGAAGAACCUUACCUG
rnacentral:rRNA from 1 species